UACGGAGGGUGCAAGCGUUAAUCGGAAUUCCUGGGCGUAAAGCGUGCGCAGGCGGUUUGUUAAGUCCGUUGUGAAAGCCCCGAGCUCAACUUGGGAAUUGCAGUGGAUACUGGCAGGCUGGAGUACGGUAGAGGAAGGUGGAAUUCCCGGUGUAGCAGUGAAAUGCGUAGAUAUCGGGAGGAACACCAGUGGCGAAGGCGGCCUUCUGGACCAGUACUGACGCUCAUGCACGAAAGCGUGGGGAGCAAACAGG
rnacentral:rRNA from 1 species